rnacentral:lncRNA from 1 species
GGUAUGAAGAAAGUUAACUCCAUCCCAACUAGUAUGCUAGUCCAACCCCUGAGCUCAAAUCAGGGUGAGCAAGCCCAGGUUGCCAGGACCAUGCACAGGUGGGUUUUGAGUAACUCCAAGGAUGCCACAACCUGUUCUAGUGUUUGACCACCCACACAGUAAAAAAUAAAAAAAUCAUCACAGGGUACUGCUGAACUGAGCCUGGAUUUUUUUUUUAUUUUAUUUUAUUUUUUUUUACUCUUAAUGGUUAGGUAUUUACUCUCCUGAGCUGCUUCUUCUCCAGACUGAACCAUCCCAGCUCUUGCAGCCUUGCCUCAUAGAACAGAUAUUCCAGUCCCUUAAUCAUCUUUGUGGCCCUACGCUGGACUUGCUCCAGUAAGCCCAUGUGUGUCCUGUAUAGGGAGCCCAGUUACGGACCCAGGACUACAGAUAUGUCUCAGCAAAGCUGAAGAGAAGGGAAGAAUCACCUCCCUUGACCUGCUGGAAGCAGUCCUCCUAAUACAGUCCAGGGUGCUAUUGGCCUUUUUUGCUGCUUGAGCCUGUUGCUGGCUCUGGACCGCAGUCCUUUUCUGCAAAGCUUUUACUUGGUUUCCUUUCCUUUUUAACUGGGUGUAUGCUACCUGCUUUAUGCUAAUUGUUUUUGAACUGAUAACCUUAUAUAUCUCCAUUAACCUGAAUAACCUGAAUUUCUUAUUAAACUCCCAGUAGUUUUUUAAUUUGGACAGAUUUUUUUUUUUUUUUUUUUUUUUUAAUAGAGCCGUUUAGCUGUUCCAAUAAACAGCUACCAGUUUGCCAAACAGCAUGUGUACUGGUUGAGUAUGCACAUGGCUGUGAACUAGCCAGAGUGUGAAUGGCUAUAGUCCAGUGAAAAUAAAACCCUUCUUUGAAGGAGCUUCUGUGAAGAGAGUUGUGCAUCACGCUGGAAGAGGAAGAGAGGAAGGCAGGCACUAGUGACAUGGAGAGGGAGCUUGGCAAGGCUGGAAGGACUAUGUGCUGGGAGACACACCUGUUCCCAAGGAAGACACUGAUACAGCUUGAAAAACUUUCUAACAUAACCACAUGUUUUAUGCACAUACUAGCCUGUGAAAUAUUGCAAGCAGUUCAAUUUUGA